AUAAGAGCAUAAGGUGAAUGUCUUGGCAUCAAGAACCGAUGAAGGACGUAAAAAGCUGCGAUAAGCUUCGGGGAGGCGCACAUAGCCAACGAUCCGGAGAUUUCCGAAUGGGGAAACCUAGCUGAGAAAAGCUCAGUUGGCGUACAGUGAAUCAAUAGCUGUGCGUAGGGAACGCUCUGAACUGAAACAUCUAAGUAGGAGCAGGAAGAGAAAGAAACAUCGAUUUCCUAAGUAGUGGCGAACGAACGGGAAACAGGCCAAACCGAGAUACAUGUAUUUCGGGGUUGUGGACUACAUCAUGUGAUGGAGGUAAGGUAGUAGAAUUGUUUUGGGAAAGCAAGCCAAAGAAAGUGAAAGCCUUGUAUACGAAACCUGAAGACCCACAGUAGUAUCCAGAGUACAUCGGGACACGUGAAACCCUGAUGGAAGCCGGAGGGACCACCCUCCAAGCCUAAAUAUUCCUUGAUGACCGAUAGCGAAGAAGUACUGUGAAGGAAAGGUGAAAAGAACCCCGGGAGGGGAGUGAAAGAGAACCUGAAACCUUAUGUUUACAAACAGUCGAAGUUUUUCGGAACGACGGCGUACUUUUUGUAGAACGGUCCGGCGAGUUGCAGUGACAUGCGAGGUUAAGGAGUACAGCUCCGGAGCCGAAGGGAAACCAAGUCUUAACUGGGCGUCUAGUAUGUUAAUGCAGACCCGAAACCGGGUGACCUAUCCAUGGGCAGGUUGAAGUUACCGUAAAAGGUAAUGGAGGACCGAACUCACAUCUGUUGAAAAAGGUGGAGAUGACCUGUGGAUAGCGGAGAAAUUCCAAUCGAACUCGGAGAUAGCUGGUUCUCCUCGAAAUAGCUUUAGGGCUAGCCUUGAGGUAAAGUCUAAUGGAGGUAAAGCACUGAUUGGACGCGGGUCCCCAAAAGGAUACCAACUUCUAUCAAACUCAGAAUGCCAUAUAGAUAUACUCAGGAGUCAGACUAUGUGAGAUAAGUUUCAUAGUCAAAAGGGAAAGAGCCCAGACCGACAGCUAAGGUCCCAAAGUGUGUGUUAAGUGGAAAAGGAUGUUAGGUUUCUAAGACAACUAGGAUGUUGGCUCAGAAGCAGCCACUCAUUUAAAGAGUGCGUAACAGCUCACUAGUCGAGAGGUCUAGCGCCGAAAAUGUCCGGGGCUAAAACACACCACCGAAGCUACGGAAUUACCUAUGGUAAUUGGUAGAGGAGCAUUCUGUAAGGAUGAAGCACAAUUGAAAGAGAGUGUGGACGAAACAGAAGAGAGAAUGCCGGAAUGAGUAGCGAGAUAUAUGUGAGAAUCAUAUAGGUCGAAUGUCUAAGGUUUCCUGGGUAAAGCUGAUCUGCUCAGGGUAAGUCGGGACCUAAGGUGAGGGCGAGAGCCGUAAUCGAUGGACAACAGGUAGAAAUUCCUGUACUACGUAUAAUCAGAACUGUGGGGACGCAGGAGGAUAGGAAAACCGGAGAAUGGAAAAAUCCGGCUAAGUACAAAGGUGUGAGUGAUAGGCAAAUCCGUCACUAUUAGCUGAAGUACGAAUGGGAGCGAAGAAAAGUAGCGAAGUUUCUGAAUCCACACUGUCAAGAAAAGCCGCUAUUGCGUUAUACGUACCCGUACCGCAAACCGACACAGGUAGACGAGGAGAAAAUCCACAGACCGACGGGAGAAGUGUUGUUAAGGAACUCGGCAAAAUGACCCCGUAACUUAGGGAUAAGGGGAGCCAACGCAAGUUGGUCACAGAAAAGAGGCUCAAGCGACUGUUUAGCAAAAACAUAGGUCUAUGCGAAACCGUAAGGUGAUGUAUAUGGGCUGACACCUGCCCGGUGCUGGAAGGUCAAAAGGAGAGGUUAGCGUAAGCGAAGCUUUGAAUUCAAGCCCCAGUAAACGGCGGCCGUAACUAUAACGGUCCUAAGGUAGCGAAAUUCCUUGUC
rnacentral:rRNA from 1 species